GACGAACGCUGGCGGCGUGCUUAACACAUGCAAGUCGAACGGAAAGGCCUCUUUCGGGGGGUACUCGAGUGGCGAACGGGUGAGUAACACGUGAGUAACCUGCCCUUGACUUUGGGAUAACUUCAGGAAACUGGGGCUAAUACCGGAUAGGAGCUCCUGCUGCAUGGUGGGGGUUGGAAAGUUUCGGCGGUUGGGGAUGGACUCGCGGCUUAUCAGCUUGUUGGUGGGGUAGUGGCUUACCAAGGCUUUGACGGGUAGCCGGCCUGAGAGGGUGACCGGCCACAUUGGGACUGAGAUACGGCCCAGACUCCUACGUGAGGCAGCAGUGGAUAAUAUUGCACAAUGGGUGGAAGCCUGAUGCAGCAACUCCGUGUGCGGGAUGACGGCCUUCGGGUUGUAAACCGCUUUCGCUCAUGACGAAGCUUUGUGUGACGGUAGUGGGUAAAGAAGCACCGGCUAACUACGUG
rnacentral:rRNA from 1 species